CGGGAUGUAGCGCAGUCUGGGUAGCGCGCUUGGUUCGGGACCAAGAAGUCGAGGGUUCAAAUCCCUCCAUCCCGACCA
rnacentral:tRNA from 1 species